rnacentral:piRNA from 1 species
UUGUUUUAAUCUGAGUGUAAGAGUAGGAG